AACGCGAAGAACCUUACCUGGACUCGAAAUUUUGUUGACAGUCUCAGAGAUGAGAUCUUCCCGCAAGGGACCUGUGUAGAGGUGCUGCAUGGCUGUCGUCAGCUCGUGCCGUGAGGUGUUGGGUUAAGUCCCGCAACGAGCGCAACCCUUACUCGUAGUUGCCACCCGCAAGGGGGAACUCUACGAGGACUGCUCCGGAUAACGGAGAGGAAGGUGGGGAUGAGGUCAAGUCAGCAUGGCCUUUAUGUCCAGGGCUACACACGUGUUACAAUGCGCGCUACAAAGCGUUGCAAACCCGCGAGGGGGAGCUAAUCGCAAAAAAGCGCGCUCAGUUCGGAUUGCAGUCUGCAACUCGACUGCAUGAAGCUGGAAUCGCUAGUAAUGGCGCAUCAGAACGGCGCCGUGAAUACGUUCCCGGGCCUUGUACACACCGCAUAC
rnacentral:rRNA from 1 species